rnacentral:rRNA from 1 species
CGGGUGAGUAAUGUCUGGGAAACUGCCUGAUGGAGGGGGAUAACUACUGGAAACGGUAGCUAAUACCGCAUAACGUCGCAAGACCAAAGAGGGGGACCUUCGGGCCUCUUGCCAUCGGAUGUGCCCAGAUGGGAUUAGCUAGUAGGUGGGGUAACGGCUCACCUAGGCGACGAUCCCUAGCUGGUCUGAGAGGAUGACCAGCCACACUGGAACUGAGACACGGUCCAGACUCCUACGGGAGGCAGCAGUGGGGAAUAUUGCACAAUGGGCGCAAGCCUGAUGCAGCCAUGCCGCGUGUAUGAAGAAGGCCUUCGGGUUGUAAAGUACUUUCAGCGGGGAGGAAGGGAGUAAAGUUAAUACCUUUGCUCAUUGACGUUACCCGCAGAAGAAGCACCGGCUAACUCCGUGCCAGCAGCCGCGGUAAUACGGAGGGUGCAAGCGUUAAUCGGAAUUACUGGGCGUAAAGCGCACGCAGGCGGUUUGUUAAGUCAGAUGUGAAAUCCCCGGGCUCAACCUGGGAACUGCAUCUGAUACUGGCAAGCUUGAGUCUCGUAGAGGG